UACGUAGGGUGCGAGCGUUGUCCGGAAUUAUUGGGCGUAAAGAGCUCGUAGGCGGUCUGUUGCGUCUGCUGUGAAAUCCCGGGGCUUAACCCCGGGCGUGCAGUGGAUACGGGCCGGCUGGAGGCAGGCAGGGGAGAAUGGAAUUCCCGGUGUAGCGGUGAAAUGCGCAGAUAUCGGGAGGAACACCGGUGGCGAAGGCGGUUCUCUGGGCCUUACCUGACGCUGAGGAGCGAAAGCGUGGGGAGCGAACAGG
rnacentral:rRNA from 1 species